GAUGAACGCUGGCGGCGUGCUUAACACAUGCAAGUCGAACGGAAAGGCCCAAGCUUGCUUGGGUACUCGAGUGGCGAACGGGUGAGUAACACGUGGGUGAUCUGCCCUGCACUUCGGGAUAAGCCUGGGAAACUGGGUCUAAUACCGGAUAGGACCACAUUUUGGAUGGUGUGGUGGAAAGUUUUUCGGUGUGGGAUGAGCUCGCGGCCUAUCAGCUUGUUGGUGGGGUAAUGGCCUACCAAGGCGUCGACGGGUAGCCGGCCUGAGAGGGUGUACGGCCACAUUGGGACUGAGAUACGGCCCAGACUCCUACGGGAGGCAGCAGUGGGGAAUAUUGCACAAUGGGCGCAAGCCGGAUGCAGCGACGCCGCGUGGGGGAUGACGGCCUUCGGGUUGUAAACUCCUUUCGCUAGGGACGAAGCGUUAUGUGACGGUACCUGGAGAAGAAGCACCGGCUAACUACGUG
rnacentral:rRNA from 1 species